AGAAGCAACAAUUAAACCCAGGGGGUGCAUACAUUCCAGUCAGAGAGAAGAACAGGAUAAUUAAUUAGUGGAGUGGUAAUUAAGCGAGAUGAGGACGCACCGCAGCUCUUCUUCUGCCGUUGCUGCUGCACUGUCCCUUUGCAAGGUGCUCCUGAUUGUGCUCGCGCUCAUCUGCACCCUGCACACUGCUUCCGUAGACGGAGCUGGCUUAUAGCCUACUAUUGUACCUGCUCUAAGGUGGGGAAGCUCACCUUGCACAGGGAUCGGAGGAAAGUGAGGUUGGAAAAGAAAUCUUACACGAGCAGAUGUGGGUGUUGGAGCGGAAACUUUUAAUCAUCACACGAGAUUUGGAGGAAGAGAUAUCUCUCCAAACAUUUUUUAAAAAGAAAUUGAGAUUUGGAGGAAUAGACGUCUCUCCAAAUAUUUUUUAAAAAGAAAUUGUGAGCAUGUUGAGUAUUGAACACAGGAACUCAGGGUUGAAAUUACACAACCCUUACCAGUGCACCAUAUAAGGUGCAUAUCUCAAUCAAAGACCAUAUCAUCACUCCUUUAAGUUGAUCAAUACCGUGCUUUUUUUAAAAAAAAAAAUCAAUACCAUGCUCAUACAUGGUCUGCCUUGGCUCUAAUAAAAUGCUUGGGCUUGGUACUCGAUCCUUUGUCCUAGUGAGUUCUGACGCACGGAAUGAGGCGUGCCGCGUGCGACCGUCAACUUUGCAGGGGAAUAAGUUCACCCUAGGUCCCUUAACUUGUCAACGAAUCCGAUUUUCAUCCUCCAACCGAAAAACCAGAUACAACGAGUCCCUUAACUGUCAAAACCAGCAUGAGGUCCCUUAGCGGUUUGGAUGGUGGUUUUGGCUGACGUGGCGCCUACGUGGCUAAUUUGACUCGUUCUUCAUUUGACGUGGCGCUUAUGUGGCAAUUCGAUCUAAGAAAAAUAAUAAACCCGUGGGACCCACAUGUCAGUUUCACACAUGAAUUAAUAAAAAAUAGUGGGGCCUACGUGGGCCCCACAUGUCAUUCUCACUCCCCUCCUCUUCUUCCUCCUCUCUCCCCAUCUCCUCUCUCAGGCGCAACAGAGAGGGCGCAGCGCACGCCCUCCGCCGCAACCCGCCUCCACCACCGUCGUCAUCCUCCACCACCUCGACCCCGCCGGCGCCGACAUCGCAGUAGACGAGCAAUGACAAGGGGACGAGACGAAGGAGGACAAAAACGGGAGGCUGGCGGCCUGCAUCUCCUUGGUAUGCUUCCAUGUCCCAUCGAGGAGUAGCAGCGUCGGGUUGGCUCGCGCGGGCGGAGGCGUGUAUCGGCACCAGGAAGCGAGGUCGACGGCGUCCGGCGAAGGGAAGAGCAGGAGGACGAGGCUCAAGAUGAGGGGGCCGGAGCCCGGAGGAACUAGGAAGGGAGGAGGCGGCGGCCGGGGAUGAUGAGGAGGUUGGAGAGGAAGCAGGUGAGGAGGGGCCGCUCCCUCCUCUACCGCCGACAUCUCCGCGCGCCGGAUACGACGAGCUGAAGCGGAUGCACUACCUGCACGGCUGCACGAGACCAUCAGCGAGGCGAUGCGGCUGUACCUCCUCCUCUGUCCCCCUCUCUCCCAGCUUCUCUCUCUGCCAACGAGAAGAACGAGUUGAAGACAGACGGUCAGUCGGGCAGUCAUUGACACCGGCGGCAAUGGCGGCGGCCUUGGCGAGCAUGGACGACGACAACAACUUGGGUCACUAACAUGUGUGUUUUUCGUCUCCGUGCCAAAUCUGACAUGGUUGCAGUCUUGCAGAUGGCCGGCCUCACUGUAGUGAACACGAGCUCAUGCAUGUCUCGAGCAGCAGCAGCAGCAGCAGCAACUGCUUGUUGGUGCCUGCCACUAAUCCUGUUGGCUGUUUAGCUCGAUCUGUACACUAAUCCUCGCUGUCCUGAGCUCGAACUCCGCCUCUCCUCCUCACCGCUGUGCAGCAUCUAACAUGAUGUGGCGGCGCGGGAGUAGGCACCGACCCCGCGGCCUGCCGCCGCCGCCGCCGCCGCUUCUCCGCUUCGUCGGCAUGCUCCUGCCGGCUGUGAGGCGGCGCCGCGGCGCGAGGAGAUGGCUUGAUGAGGAAGAGGGAGAGCUGAGAGGGGAGAGGGAAUGACAUAUGGGGUCCAUGUGGGCCACGCCAUUUUAAAAUUAUUAUUUUUAGCUGA